rnacentral:rRNA from 1 species
AGAGUUUGAUCCUGGCUCAGAAUGAACGCUGGCGGCGUGCUUAACACAUGCAAGUCGAGCGCGAAGGCGGCUUCGGCCGCCGGAGAGCGGCGAACGGGUGAGUAACACGUGGGUAAUCUGCCUGGGAGCGGGGGAUAACCUGGGGAAACCCGGGCUAACACCGCAUACGAUGUCGGGGCUUCGGUUCCGGCCUGAAAACUGGCCUCUGCUUGCAAGCUAGUGCUCCCAGAGGAGCCCGCGGCUGAUUAGCUAGUUGGUGGGGUAACGGCUCACCAAGGCGACGAUCAGUAGCCGGCCUGAGAGGGUGAUCGGCCACACUGGGACUGAGACACGGCCCAGACUCCUACGGGAGGCAGCAGUGGGGAAUAUUGGACAAUGGGCGCAAGCCUGAUCCAGCAACGCCGCGUGGAGGAUGAAGGUCUUCGGAUCGUAAACUCCUGUCAGACGGGACGAAGGUAGGAGGGUGAACAAUCCUUCUGCUUGACGGUACUGUCAGAGGAAGCCCCGGCUAACUCCGUGCCAGCAGCCGCGGUAAUACGGAGGGGGCGAGCGUUAUUCGGAAUUAUUGGGCGUAAAGGGCGCGUAGGCGGUUCGAUAAGUCAAAGGUGAAAUCCCUCGGCUCAACUGAGGAACUGCCUUUGAAACUGUCGAGCUUGAGUCCGGGAGGGGAGCGGAAUUCCCAGUGUAGCGGUGAAAUGCGUAGAUAUUGGGAGGAACACCGGUGGCGAAGGCGGCUACCUGGACCGGAACUGACGCUGAUGCGCGAAAGCGUGGGUAGCAAACAGGAUUAGAUACCCUAGUAGUCC